rnacentral:rRNA from 1 species
CCUACGGGGGGCUGCAGUGGGGAAUAUUGGACAAUGGGCGAAAGCCUGAUCCAGCCAUGCCGCGUGUGUGAAGAAGGCCUUCGGGUUGUAAAGCACUUUCAGUGGGGAAGAAAGCCUUGGGGCUAAUACCCUCGAGGAAGGACAUCACCCACAGAAGAAGCACCGGCUAACUCCGUGCCAGCAGCCGCGGUAAUACGGAGGGUGCGAGCGUUAAUCGGAAUUACUGGGCGUAAAGCGCGCGUAGGCGGUCUGAUAAGCCGGUUGUGAAAGCCCCGGGCUCAACCUGGGAACGGCAUCCGGAACUGUCAGGCUAGGGUGCAGGAGAGGAAGGUAGAAUUCCCGGUGUAGCGGUGAAAUGCGUAGAGAUCGGGAGGAAUACCAGUGGCGAAGGCGGCCUUCUGGACUGACACUGACGCUGAGGUGCGAAAGCGUGGGUAGCAAACAGGAUUAGAUACCCCGUAGUC